rnacentral:rRNA from 1 species
CCUACGGGCGGCAGCAGUGGGGGAUAUUGCACAAUGGGGGAAACUCUGAUGCAGCGACGCCGCGUGAGUGAUGACGUAUUUCGGUAUGUAAAGCUCUAUCAGUAGGGAAGAAAAUGACAGUACCUGACCAAGAAGCCCCGGCUAACUCCGUGCCAGCAGCCGCGGUAAUACGUAGGGGGCAAGCGUUAUCCGGAUUUACUGGGUGUAAAGGGAGCGUAGACGGUUUUGUAAGUCUGGAGUGAAAGCUCGGGGCCCAACCCCGGGACUGCAUUGGAAACUGUGUAACUGGAGUACAGGAGGGGCAGGCGGAAUUCCUGGUGUAGCGGUGAAAUGCGUAGAUAUCAGGAGGAACACCGGCGGCGAAGGCGGCCUGCUAGACUGAAACUGACGUUGAGGCUCGAAAGCGUGGGGAGCAAACAGGAUUAGAUACCCGUGUAGUC